rnacentral:pre_miRNA from 1 species
UUAACCUAUUUAACAACUCAACCCAUCAAAUUAAAUGAGUUAUGGGUUGACCCAACCCAUUUAACAAAAUGAGUUGGGUCAACCCAUUCAUUUAACCCUAAACUCAUUUGAUUAUGAGU